rnacentral:rRNA from 1 species
CCUUACUGCUCAGUAACACGUGGAUAACCUGCCCUUGGGUCCGGCAUAACCCCGGGAAACUGGGGAUAAUUCCGGAUAACGCAUAUAUGCUGGAAUGCUUUAUGCGUCAAAUGGAUUCGUCUGCCCAAGGAUGGGUCUGCGGCCUAUCAGGUAGUAGUGGGUGUAAUGUACCUACUAGCCAACAACGGGUACGGGUUGUGAGAGCAAGAGCCCGGAGAUGGAUUCUGAGACAUGAAUCCAGGCCCUACGGGGCGCAGCAGGCGCGAAAACUUUACAAUGCGGGAAACCGUGAUAAGGGGACACCGAGUGCUAGCAUCAUAUGCUGGCUGUCCAGGUGUGUAAACUACACCUGUUAGCAAGGGCCGGGCAAGACCGGUGCCAGCCGCCGCGGUAACACCGGCGGCCCGAGUGGUGAUCGUGAUUAUUGGGUCUAAGGGGUCCGUAGCCGGUUUGGUCAGUCUUCCGGGAAAUCUGAUAGCUUAACUAUUAGGCUUUCGGGGGAUACUGCCAGGCUUGGAACCGGGAGAGGUAAGAGGUACUACAGGGGUAGGAGUGAAAUCUUGUAAUCCCUGUGGGACCACCUGUGGCGAAGGCGUCUUACCAGAACGGGUUCGACGGUGAGGGACGAAAGCUGGGGGCACGAACCGGAUUAGAUACCCGGGUAGUCCCAGCCGUAAACGAUGCUCGCUAGGUGUCAGGCAUGGCGCGACCGUGUCUGGUGCCGCAGGGAAGCCGUGAAGCGAGCCACCUGGGAAGUACGGCCGCAAGGCUGAAACUUAAAGGAAUUGGCGGGGGAGCAC